UCCCCUUCAUGGCUGUAUAACCUGGCAGAAGCUCCAUAGUCUCCAUUUUCUUCUCUUUUAGGCCAGUUCACGUUCCUAAACUGGGCGUUAGAAUGAGAUGAUAUGAGGAUUCACGUAUGUCCCAGACAAGCUGUACCCCAAAUGUCAGAGAGAGGAGGAGAAGGGAGACUCUUCUAGCUACACUAGAAAAUGGGCAAAGGAUAUGAGCAGGAAUCUUCCCUGCAGAAAUAGACAAGUGCACAAGGAUACAAGAAUUUCUUUGGACCAUUAAGGCCAAAAAAUGGAGACCACCAAAAUGCCCCAAAUCAGGGAAGUGGUUGAAUAAUCAACUGAGUGCUCUUCUUAUGGAAUGUUAUUUAGUCAUUCAAAGGAACAAGAGUAGAUUACCUUGUAAUUACAAUGUAUUAUUGAAUAGGGAAAAAAUGAAAUUUCAAUUAAAAUA